UUGAGGACAUUUUCAUUUCCCUCUAAAAAAAUUUUCUUCUUUUCAUUUUCCCUUUAAAUUAUUUUACAGCUUUUAUUUUUCCCUUAGAAAAUAAAGAAAAAACUCUUCACUCUCUACACAGCAAACCUUUCAUUAUCUGCAUAACUAACCUUUGAGAAGAAAUAAAAAAAUGAUGGUGAAUCAAGUUUUUCUCAAAUAAAUCCUACAUCUAUCUCAAAUUUUGUUCUUCUUAUUAACAUCUUGAGGUAAGUUUUCUCAUAUUCUAUUUUUUACAUUUCAAAAAAUAAUGGUGAUUCGAUUUUGUUGUUCUUAUUUUCAUUUUUAUCAUAGAUAUGAAAUGAAAUCUUUCUUUAGCUUUGCACAAAUAGUUAUUUGAAUUAUAUGUUUUUGAUUUGAAGUUUUUUUUCUCAUUUUUGAUUCCAAUGUCAUCUUGCUCAUAGGUUUGAAUUAUUUGAACAGUAAAUAAUUUUUGGGUCUUUUGAAAAUUUUGCUCAAAUUCGUCUUUGUUUUUAAAUGUUGAUUUCAUUGUCAUCUUGCUCACAGAUUUGAAUUCUUUGAACAUUAAAUGAUUUUUGAGUCUUUUGUAGAUUUUGCUCAAAUUCGUUCCCAUUCUUCUUCAAUUAAGAGUUUAAAGUGAAUAAUUGUUAUUUCAUUAUCCACAUAGUUUAAGAUUUAAAGGAUUGUGAAAAAUACUUGUGGUUUCUGAUAAAUGCUUGAUUGGUUGAAUUUCUUGGACUUCCUUCGCUAUGCCUGAAUGUUUAUAGGCCUUGGUCUAUAGACUUCUUUAAUGAAUUUUUUAAAUUCAUAUUUUUUGCACCAGAAAAUGUCAGGGAAGGAACAUAGAAUCUUGUAAAACAAGUAAAUCCAUACUUAUUUAUGUGAAGAACUAGGAAAAAGAUACAAAAACUCAUAACCUUAAUAGUGGUGUAGUUAGCAUUUCACUAAAGGAAGCCGAAAUAAGUACACGAAGAAGUAAAAAUGAUUCAAUGUAUGGUAUAUCUAUAUAAGUUUUUCUUAUCAAUCUAUACAAUAUAGUUUUUUAAUGAAUUGACACCCCUUGGAUAAAGAUGCUCCGCCACUGUUAUCUCAUGUUUUUUAUCAGACACCUAUAUAAGAUUCAUAUAUUUUAACUUCACCAUUCACAAGAUACAUAAUCUUCUAGUAGGACAUGAAACAGUAAGAUACAAAGAUAUAGUGCCCACCAUCCAACUCAAGUUAACACUUGCAAAUUGACUGCUUAUCAGGGCAUAAAGGAAUAGGCUUUCUCAUGGAACUUUGAGGAUAUAGUAGUCACCCAGGCCAUGUGUAUUUCUCUCUUGGUAAAAGUGUUGUCUUAUAAUAAUUGGAGGUGUCUCAUGAAAACCCAACGCUGACGUGACACAUAAAUUUUGGAGGUGUAUAGAUAAUAAUUUUAUAAGUUGGAUUGUUCAAUCGAAAACAGUGGAGACGAGUUGAGGUGUCUAGAUGUGCACUGUCAAUAAAAUUGCAAUACUUACUUGCCAACUGAGGUCAAGUUUGAAUGUUUGUUUAUGUAUUAUGCCAAUAUAUUUUAAAUAGAAAUACAAGUCCAAGCAAAAUCUAUUGAGUUGCCGAAUCUGUAGGCAAAACUGUAGCAUCGCCCCUAAUUGCAAGGUUAGAAAGAAACCUUAGUAAGUUCCACUGCAAAAGGACAUAAUAGAAACUGUAGCUUUCUGGUAGAGAAGUGUUGAAUUCAAACACUUUGCAAGGAGCAGGUUGAGGAACAUGAGUUGUGUGUUGUACAUUUAUUAAUUUAAGGUUUGAAAUCAACUUUAUUUUAUAUAUACAUAUGCAUAUUUAUUUUUACAAGACUUUUGUAUGCGGUGAUGAAUCAAUUUUAGAUGGGAUAGUAGAUAAAGGUUUGAUGCAUGGUUGAUUCAACAGCAUGGGAACUCAUAUGGGUUGUCUAUAUAUGUACUGCUUCUUUGAAUUUUCUUCUUUUUGCUCAAAUCUUUUUUGUCAGUGAGAUUUUUUUAUAUUCUUUGUUGAUUAUAAAAUGGAAAAUUUAAGUCAUGUUGGAUCUUAUUGAAAAGAAGUUCAAUUUCAAUUUUCUUACUAUAUUAUAAGAUUAUUACAAAAAGAAAAUAAUAUUUGUUACCAAGGAGACAAUCAUGGACCACUCUUCUGAACCUAUCAGCAACCUUCUUCUAAAAACAUGCGUACCCAUCCACCAUGGUCUAUCCAUCCACCACGGUCCAUCCCCGGCAGUACAUGAAAGAAUAGACUGAGCAGGUACAUAGUUGAUGAGAUUAAAAAAAGUGGAAUAAGCUAAAAAGGGAUCAAAGAGGGAAGAGAAGUGCAAAAGCUAGAUAACCUGUAUAGACUGCGUGUCCGGUACCGCAAUUGUGGUAAGUCAAGAAGCCAGCAGGCCAUGAUCACUUGAAGAAUUCAGGGAUUCCUAAGUUGCGAUCGUGGUAUAUCCACAUGGGAUCGCAAGAUAGCAGGAAUUUCAGCUAGGGAAAAAAUUGUAAAAGUACAUAGCCGACCCCAAAUUCCCAUUAAGAAGCUCAAAACACUCAUCCAUGAAUAAUCAUUCUAUAACCCUACCUCCCAUCUUUAGUUUAGGAUUUCUGUAACUUGUUGGAGCUAAACUUAUACUAUUUGUGAGUUAAAAAGACAUUAGAGUGACCUCCAAGUAGAGAAUUGGCAAAUCCCAUUGAGGAUUCAUAAAAACUUAAAGUGUGGUUUGCAUUCUCUUUACUUUUUAUGAAUCAAUUUGAUGGAGAUUUUUUUUUA